GACGAACGCUGGCGGCGUGCUUAACACAUGCAAGUCGAACGGUAAGGCCCUUCGGGGUACACGAGUGGCGAACGGGUGAGUAACACGUGGGUGAUCUGCCCUGCACUUCGGGAUAAGCUUGGGAAACUGGGUCUAAUACCGGAUAGGACCACUGCCUGCAUGGGUGGUGGUGGAAAGCUGUUGUGGUGUGGGAUGGGCCCGCGGCCUAUCAGCUUGUUGGUGGGGUGAUGGCCUACCAAGGCGACGACGGGUAGCCGGCCUGCGAGGGUGACCGGCCACACUGGGACUGAGCUACGGCCCAGACUCCUACGGGAGGCAGCAGUGGGGAAUAUUGCACAAUGGGCGGAAGCCUGAUGCAGCGACGCCGCGUGAGGGAUGACGGCCUUCGGGUUGUAAACCUCUUUCAGCACCGACGAAGCGCAAGUGACGGUAGGUGCAGAAGAAGGACCGGCCAACUACGUGCCAGCCGCCGCAGUAA
rnacentral:rRNA from 1 species